UUUGUUCCGAAUACCAUCGGAAUGCCUCUUCAGUUUUCAGAAAAUGACCUUUCAACACCAUAAUUGUUGAGAAAGAGUUGUAUUGCGUGACAGACUCAGAGAACCAGAAUAUUUCAGAGAAGAACGACAACGAGGAGGCUCAAAACAGUAUUGAGGGUCUGUGCUAGAAUUUGUUGGACUCCAGUGUAACACUUUUAUGGACAGAGAGGAAAUCUUAUCUCAAGGGUCAACAUGUCUUUAUUCCAAGAAAGGGGUGUAUGCCAGAAUCUUUUGAAGAACAGUCUGAAUCUAACAUGGAAAAAUGAGGAAGAACAGCCUUCCAGCUUACAAAUCUAUAUUUUGACAAAGGGGGUAUAUGCCAGAAUCUUUUGAAGAACAGUCAGAAUCUAACAUGGAAAAAUGAGGAAAAACAGCCUUCCUGCUAAUCUAUAUUCUGACAAAGGGUAAUUUUGUUUUUAAUUCAGUUAGAAGUACACAUAUAAUUAUGCUCGCAUCCCUUUCAAAGAAGGGAGGGCAUAUUGCUUUGCUGCUUUCUGUCAGUCGGUUUGGUGGUCCACCUUUAGUUUUGCUUCAAUUUCUUCACAGAGGUUGCACAUAUUGAAUUUAAGUG